rnacentral:lncRNA from 1 species
CAGCCCCUCCUGGAAGCAAGACUGCCUCCUCAGCAUGGCCAGUAACCCUCUGGGCUGUGCCUCCUGGAGAAAGGCCUCAUUCAGUCCCAUGACUGACAAGUUAUCAACAGGGAGGUCUACCCUAUCAACAAGGAGGUCUAUCCUGUGACUAGCAAAGGUUCAGUCACUGCUGUUUGUGCAGAAAUUUUCAGCCUCAGAGUGGCAUGAAAAUCUGAAUGGCUGUGCCUGUCAAAUGUUGUUUGUUUUGACCCCAGCAGAUCCUUCUAGGUUUUCUGCAGCUUAAUUAUCAGCACUCAUGACACUUUUAGGUAACCUCUGAUUUGGUGUGCUCAACUGCGCUGGAAGACUCUUAGCACUGAUGAAUGAAGCCCAGGACAUAGAAAGGCAGCUGACGGAAUAUUUUCCCCACCAAUGCCAGGAAGCUGAAGGUCUGCUCUUGUGAUUUGCAUCUGGCUGUGAUGUUCUCUCUCUGCCCCCCACCCUCACCCCAGCACAGAGCAAUCAACCUUGUCCCUGUUCUC